CUUUACUGUAACUUGGCAGUGAGUUUCGGGUUGUUCUGCGUAGGAUAGGUGGGAGGCUUUGAGACCGGGCUUCUGGGCUCGGUGGAGCCAACCUUGAAAUACCACCCUGAACAAUCUGGGAUUCUAACCUAGGCCCGUGAUCCGGGCUGGGGACACUGCCUGGUGGGCAGUUUGACUGGGGCGGUCGCCUCCUAAAAAGUAACGGAGGCGCACGAAGGUCACCUCAGGCUGAUUGGAAACCAGCCGUAGAGUGUAAAGGCAUAAGGUGGCUUGACUGCGAGACCGACAGGUCGAGCAGGUGCGAAAGCAGGUCUUAGUGAUCCGGUGGUCCCGUAUGGAAGGGCCAUCGCUCAUCGGAUAAAAGGUA
rnacentral:rRNA from 1 species